UAAUGAUGGGACAGUACAACUUCAAGGACUACCAUUUGGUUAUAGCAAAGAGGAAAUAGUUCAGUUCUUUCAAGGGUUGGAAAUCGUGCCAAAUAGGAUAACAUUGACGAUGGACUACCAGGGGAGAAGCACAGGGGAGACCUUCGUGCAGUUUGCUUCAAAGGAGAUAGCAGAAAAUGCUCUGGGGAAACACAAGGAAAGAACAGGGCACAGGUAUAUGGAGAUCUUCAGAAGUAGCAGGAGGGAAAUCAAAGGAUUUUGUGAUCCACCAAGAAGAUUGCUGGGACAGUGACCGGGACCGUAUGAUAGACCAAUAGGAGGAAGAGGGGGUUAUUAUGGAGCUGGGCGUGGAGGCUAUGGAGGUUUUGAUGACUAUGGUGGCUAUAAUAAUUAUGGCUAUGGCAAUGACGGCUUUGAUGGCAGAAUGAGAGAUGGAAGAGGUAGGGGAGGACAUGGCCAUGGUGGUGCCGGUGAUGCAAGUUCAGGGUUUCAUGGUGGUCAUGUUGUACAUAUGAGAGGGUUACCUUUUUGUGCAACUGAAAAUGAUAUUGCUAAUUUCUGCUCACCACUAAAUCCAAUACGAGUUCAUAUUGAUAUUGGAGUUGAUGGCAGAGCAACAGGAGAAGCAGAUGGAGAGUUUGUGACACAUGAAGAUGCAGUAGCUGCCAUGUCUAAAGAUAAAAUAACAUGCCACAUUGAUACAUUGAACUCUUCUUGAAGUCCACUCCUGGAGGUGGCUCUGGAAUGGGAGGUUCUGCAAUGGGAGGCUACGGCAGAGAUGGAAUGGGGUGGUUACGGAUCUGUUGGAAGAAUGGGAAUGGGGAACAAUUAUAGUGGAGGAUAUGGUACUCCUGAUGGCUUGGGUGGUUAUGGCCAUGGUGGUGGAGGCAGUGGAGGUUACUAAGGGCAAGGUGGCAUGAGCGGAGGUGGAUGGCGUGGCAUGUACUGAAAACAGAAGCAUCAACACACAAGUCCUGACAACAGCAUCUGGUCUACUAGACUUUCUUACAGAUUUAAUUUCUUUUGUAUUUUAAGAACUUUAUGAUGAUUAAAGGAAUGUGUUUUCAAAAUAUUAUUUGGUAAAGCAACAGAUUGUGAUGGGGAAAUCUGUUUUCUGUAGAUUUUACUUGUUGCAUACUUUGACUUAAAUAAAUUUUUAUAUUAAAAAAAAGAUUAUAACUUUAUCCACAAUGUGAUGAGUUCCUGCACUGGGCCGCUUCCACUCUAAUGUCCAGCAUUUUUUCUUAAAGGAUAAAUGGCACUCGAAUGUAUUGAAAACAGCUAUAAAUGGCAGAAUACCCCCUGGCCUUUGUGUAUGAUUUCCAGGGUCUUUGGAUUGGAUCUUUGCCCUGAUCCUUCAUUGUAUUAUAUAUGUGGGGAAACUGAAGUCUAGAGGGGGACAGCAUCACCCAGUGUCACAGAACUGGGACAGUAUCUCCUAUUCCAGACUUUCACUCCAGUGUUUUUCCAAACCAAGAUGAACUGACAUUUAUUGUUGACAGGAGGCUUGGACAUGUGCUUACCGGUGGCCCUCAUCUUCUAGAACAAUCCUCCUACAGGGUUUUGUGACACUGGGAUGGGCAUCAAAGAUGUGUAGACUUUGGGCCUCUUUCUGCCAAUGUUAUGCUGUGUGAGUUUGGGUGAGUCAACCAG